rnacentral:rRNA from 1 species
AGUGAACGCUGGCGGUAGGCCUAACACAUGCAAGUCGAACGGCAGCACAGUAAGAGCUUGCUCUUACGGGUGGCGAGUGGCGGGCGGGUGAGGAAUACAUCGGAAUCUACUUUUUCGUGGGGGAUAACGUAUGGAAACUUACGCUAAUACCGCAUACGACCUACGGGUGAAAGCAGGGGAUCUUCGGACCUUGCGCGAUUGAAUGAGCCGAUGUCGGAUUAGCUAGUUGGCGGGGUAAAGGCCCACCAAGGCGACGAUCCGUAGCUGGUCUGAGAGGAUGAUCAGCCACACUGGAACUGAGACACGGUCCAGACUCCUACGGGAGGCAGCAGUGGGGAAUAUUGGACAAUGGGCGCAAGCCUGAUCCAGCCAUACCGCGUGGGUGAAGAAGGCCUUCGGGUUGUAAAGCCCUUUUGUUGGGAAAGAAAAGCAGCAGGUUAAUACCCCGCUGUUCUGACGGUACCCAAAGAAUAAGCACCGGCUAACUUCGUG